rnacentral:rRNA from 1 species
GAUGAACGCUAGCUACAGGCUUAACACAUGCAAGUCGAGGGGAAACGACAUCGAAAGCUUGCUUCGACUGAUGGCGACCGGCGCGACGGGUGAGUAACGCGUAUCCAACCUGCCCACCACUUGGGGAUAACCUUGCGAAAGUAAGACUAAUACCCAAUGAUAUCCCACGAAGGCAUCCGAAUGGGAUUAAAGAUUUAUCGGUGAUGGAUGGGGAUGCGUCUGAUUAGCUUGUUGGCGGGGUAACGGCCCACCAAGGCAACGAUCAGUAGGGGUUCUGAGAGGAAGGUCCCCCACAUUGGAACUGAGACACGGUCCAAACUCCUACGGGAGGCAGCAGUGAGGAAUAUUGGUCAAUGGGCGAGAGCCUGAACCAGCCAAGUAGCGUGCAGGAUGACGGCCCUAUGGGUUGUAAACUGCUUUUAUAAGGGAAUAAAGUGGGUCUCGUGAGACUUUUUGCAUGUACCUUAUGAAUAAGGACCGGCUAAUUCCGUG